GGGGCUGUGGGGUAGCUUGGUAUCCUUGUAGGUUCGGGACCUAUUGACCCCGGUUCAAAUCCGGGCAGCCCCA
rfam:Candidatus Methanomethylophilus alvus Mx1201, complete genome.